rnacentral:tRNA from 1 species
AGGCACGUAGCUCAGUUGGUUAGAGCACCACCUUGACAUGGUGGGGGUCGUUGGUUCGAGGUCAAUCGCGCCUACCA